GGGAGGUCUGGAAAGUCCCAAAGAGUAAGAAACCAGUAACUAACAGAAAUUUUUGAGUUCAGGAUAGCAGAUAAGAAAAGAAAAGCUACUGAAACUCCCUCCACUUGUGAGAUCAAGAGAAACCUGGCUGAAACUGGUUGGAACCAAGAUGGCUAACUGGAUCUUGCACAGAAUAAGCUUGAUGAUGUCGUAGCCUGAAUUUCCACCACAUGUUUCAUACUAACUCCCCCUGAAUUUGCACAUGCAACUCAGGAGUUAACAUAAGAAAUAACUGUGCAUGCCCAAGGACUUUCCAGACCUCCCUUUUCCUUACACCAAUCACCUACUAAUCUCAGAAUCCACCCCCUGAACCUUUUCUAAUAAAAAUACUGCCUUAAUGCCAGCACAGAGAGACAAACUUGAGCUUGACUCCUGUCUCCUUCAGAGGUGACUUUUAAUAUAAAGCUUUUCUUUUUUUCAAAAACUUGGUGUCAGUAUUGGCUUCUAGCGCAUUGGGCAGUGAGCCCCUUUUGCUUGAUAACAAACUAGAACCCCAGGUGAGACGAACAGCCUGUCCAAGGUACUGUUGCCCCUAGUGAUGUGCAGGCCCCCUUCACUGAUCCUGAGUGGCCACCUAGACCAGUGUGUCCAGAGGCUCGACUAUAGGGUUCCUGCUUCUCCACCAUGGCACUUCAGGCUCCCUUGGCACUUUUCUUUUGGGAAAAGAAAUUGCUUCUGGAUUAGACAUCUUUCUGCAAUAUUUGGCUUAACAGAGGUUGAAGACUGUGAUGGCUACAGCAGAAGCCUUAUGAGAUCUCCAGACUCCUGCACACUCAAUUAGAACAAAGCAACUCCAUAAACUAGAAAACCUGAAGAAAAAUGGCACAGGUAAAACAUUUUCAGUCAAUCCCUCUUUCUUCUUCUGUCCUUGAAGAGUUACCAUGUAGUCUUCUAAGUUUUUUGCUUAUUUUUUCUUCCUGACUACUUUGAAUCUGCUGACUUUUCUGCUGGUGUUGAAAUAAAACUUACUGUUCAUGGUAUUACUAGUUUCAGGUUACUGGCUGAAGAAAAAAAAUGAAAGGUCUUUUAAAAUCAAAGUGCCAUGGAAACUGCUUUGCUCAUCAGGGCAAAUAAAAUUUAGCCAUGUGAACAGAUUCCAGUUUUAUCAGGAAAAUAAGUUAGAUCCAACUGUCUUGUUUACACAUGUACAUGCAUUAUGUUAUAUGUUGUGUCUAUAGGGUACCAAAUUAGCUUAUAAAUAAGAGAGUACUGAUAAAUAAAUAAGCCCAAAUGCUUUUCAAGUUCAUUUCACUUUAAUAAUCUUUGGAAAAUAAAAAUAAAUUAAAAUUAUUGAUAAAAUAAAAAUAGAUACGUCUUCAGAGUUGUCGGCAUGUAUUUUUGCCUGCGUUUACUGGUCAGCUGAUAUGUGCAUCUGCUAGUUAUUUUAAGAUGUCCAGGUUUGGCAAAAAGUUAUGAAAUUACAAACCCAGCCAAAACAGAAUAAUCUUUGUUUAUGUGAUUCUUUUGAUAAAUAAGACUAAUUUAAUAUUGUUGGUUUAAUGAAAACAAUGAAAUCCUCUGAUUUAUCAGCAAAAUAUCUGUAUAUUUCACUUUAAAGUUCUUGCUUAGGUGAACACCUGAUAUUCACAAGCUGUAAAAUGGUUAACAAGGAAGUAACUUAAAAUGAUGACUAGCUUUGUCUAAUGACUCUGUUCUCAUAACUAAUCUAGAUAAACUGUUAAAAACAAAUAAAUUAGAUAAAUGUAAAUGGGAUAAAUGUCUGUAAAUGAAAUUCUUGUGUUUUUCAAAAUCUUAAAGUUAUGAUACUUACUAUCAUACUUUACUUACUGAACAGCUGGGUCACUUCUAAUUAAGAAAUAUAUAAGGAAAUGUUUCUAAAGAUUAAAACAUGGUUUUAAAAUACAUAAAAUACUUGUAAUAUUUUAUCUUCAAAUACUGAUAUAUUGCAGACAAUUCAAGAUUUCUUACUUCCUAGGUUCUUCCCUAAAAUCCCUAAAAUAAGGAUUAUUAAGAGUUAACAUUGUGACAUAUAUGUAAUUGAAACUACUAGAUACAAGAGAAACAAUUCUAUUUGCAGAAUGUAUACGAAAAAUAGGAUGUGUUUUUGGUAAACACACAAGAAGACAGGAAUAUGGUUUUCAUUUAAGGGCAAGUAAUUUUGCCUAGUUUAGAGGUUCUAAAGGAUUGUUUUAAAUUGAAGGAAUAAAAAAAGCAUAGAUAAAACUAAAUAAAUAUAAAAAGUUGAGAAAGAAUGAAAAUAAAACAAAUUGUAAGAGGUUAUAAAAGGUUUACAGAAAUCUUACCUUGCAGUCAAAAUGAAUUGAGAACGAAUAGAUUUGUUUAUAGGGUCUUAUUAAAAUUAGCUGCAAUAUUAAAAAUGUGCUAAUACAAAACUAAAAAUUUUGGUUAAAGCAACAAAAGUUUUUGAAGUAUUGAUUUGCUCUCAAUGAUAUUGCAAGAAAUAUUGAGUUUAAAUUCUAAAAUUAAAAUGUCAGAUUUAUAUCUCAGAAGUUCAACUUUUCCUGUGCCUUGUUACAUAUAAGUUGCAGAUCACAUUCAUUAUCUUCUGUUUUUUUCCCCUUGAAAAAAAAUAUAUCUUUUUGCUUGGCUGGAAUGAUAACACUCCUCUUCAACUUGUUCAUCAACUCUUACAACUUUUUACCCCAGUCCUAAUGCUGUUCUUAUGACAUAAUGCUAAAAUAUUUAUCUUAAAAGUUUAGAAAAGCAGUGUUUUCCUCAAAUGUAAUAUAAUUUUAUACUCUUGGCUUUAUGAUAUGUCUGAAUUAUUUCAUAUAACCAGGAAACCUCCCAUGUAACUUUCUGUAUUACUUUUGAGGUCUUUUGACUGUCAUGCUAGUUAAAUGAAUAACUGUUAUUUUUAAAUGACCUGUAGUUCUGUUUUGAUCAAAUGUUUUGAACCAUUUAACAUCUUUGGUAGGAUUUAUUUUGUAAAACUGUAUGGGAGACACUAUCAAAUGCUAAAUAAUACUAGAUCUUCUUUUGGUUAUGUUUAUGGGUAUGCUAUUGAUAUAAAUGUUCUAAGAAUUACAUAAAUUUAUAAAAAUCU